GGGGGGGGGGGGGGGGGGGGGGGGGGGGGGCGGGGGGGGGGGGGGGGGGGGGAGGGGGCUGUGCUGGUGGUAGCGGCGGACGGGGGAGUAGCGCGUGGGUAACCUACCUAUAGGACUGGGAGACCUGCGGGGACCGGGAGUUAAUCCCGGAUAAUAUUUUGAACCGCAUGGUUCCAAAGUGAAAGACGGUCUUGCUGUCACUAAUCGAUGGACCCGCGCUGCAUUAGCUAGUUGGUAAGGUAACGGCUUACCAGGGCAACGAUGCAUAGCCGACCUGAGAGGGUGAUCGGCCACACUGGAACUGAGACACGGUCCAGACUCCUACGGGAGGCAGCAGUAGGGAAUCUUCCGCAAUGGGCGAAAGCCUGACGGAGCAACGCCGCGUGAGUGAUGAAGGUCUUCGGAUCGUAAAACUCUGUUAUUAGGGAAGAACAUAUGUGUAAGUAACUGUGCACAUCUUGACGGUACCUAAUCAGAAAGCCACGGCUAACUACGUG
rnacentral:rRNA from 1 species